GGACCAUGACCUUUUAAAGUUAGUUUUCAAGUAUAAACACUCCAUAAUAUAACUCUUAACAUUGAAGAAGUAUGUUCUAGCACAACAAAUCUGAAACAAACUCAACAAAACUUCAACAAUGUAUGAGGCUAAUAGUGAGGGUGCUUCACAAGCAACUGCAAGUAUGUCAUUAAUAACCGUAUGAGGCAGGAAGUCAAGGACCAUCUCUAACACGAUGUGCAUACAGAAGCUGCUGCAUGAUGAUGGAGAAGAUGUUUGUGAGUAGAUAGAAGUCCCGAAUCCCUCAUGCAGUAACCACUCCUGUCAAUAAUAUUUUCUUUACAUAAGCAAUCGCAUGCACAGUAGCAAGAGAUCACGUCUACCGACAACGUGUGUCUCCCCUAUGUUCUGAAAAAGUAAUGGACAUUCAGCACGUCGCAACUCUAAGGUUCUCAACAACCCUGGAACCCAAGACGUGCCAUACAGCACACCGUACCAUGUAACAGGAGCCUGUUUAUAUCAGUUCGUAGCAGAGAAUCCAAACCACAAAGAUUCACCAUUUUGAUGAUUUGACAAGACUCACAAAGCACUCAACUUUGCAGAUACGAAUGUAACGUGCAUUCCGUAAAAUUAACAUUUCCGAUCAUAAAUUCGACCAGAGCGAAUCCUCUGCCGCCAAAUGACCACAAUCUGAUCAAGCUACUAAUCCAAAGACACUUGCAUUCAAACAGUCUAAAUUAUACUAAAGCGAACCACCUACCUACAAUAAGCAACCAAUCUCAUCAGCAUGGAAAAGAAUAUGCGAACUUCAACCACAUUCCCAUUUUACCACUAGAGCACACUCUGCUUCGUCGCACUUGGUACAACUACCCCGUCUCGCAUUAUUUCUACCAACAAUACAAGACAAUACUCUCCACAACCAAGUCGCAGCGUCCACAAUUCAACAGUACCCCCAAUCUGCAGCAAUCGCAGAAAAUCUCGCAGCAAAUAACUCUUCAAAGGUACUCCACCAUGACCCUAAUAAGAAGCUGCAGCGCUCACCAGCAACGUAAAUAAACAAGUAAAAAAAAAGUAACACUCAACAUGUGAUGCACUGCGAGGGUGCGGUGAAUGCACACUCCUGCGGUGAAAGUUAAGAGGGAAGGAGAUAAAAACUCUCGUGUAGGAUGCAUGGGUUUCUGGGCCAUUCCGCCAUAGCUAGUCUUGAUUGCUGCCAAACCACCAUGACUAGGAAGAUGCCGACAC
rnacentral:lncRNA from 1 species